UACAGAGGUCCCAAGCGUUGUUCGGAUUCACUGGGCGUAAAGGGUGCGUAGGCGGUCGGGUAAGUCUGAUGUGAAAUCUCACAGCUUAACUGUGAAACUGCAUUGGAUACUAUCCGGCUCGAGGAAUGGAGGGGAGACUGGAAUACUUGGUGUAGCGGUGAAAUGCGCAGAUAUCAGGAGGAACACCGAUGGCGAAGGCAGUGGGCUGGGCCGGCACUGACGCUGAGGAGCGAAAGCGUGGGGAGCGAACAGG
rnacentral:rRNA from 1 species